UGAUCUCAAAUCAGAUAAGAGUACCCGCUGAACUUAAGCAUAUCAAUAAGCGGAGGAAAAGAAACUAACAAGGAUUCCCUUAGUAACGGCGAGUGAAGCGGGAAGAGCUCAAAUUUGAAAUCUUCAAGGUUUACCUUGACG
rnacentral:ncRNA from 1 species